GAUGAACGCUGGCGGCGUGCCUAAUACAUGCAAGUCGAGCGAACAGACGAGGAGCUUGCUCCUCUGACGUUAGCGGCGGACGGGUGAGUAACACGUGGAUAACCUACCUAUAAGACUGGGAUAACUUCGGGAAACCGGAGCUAAUACCGGAUAAUAUAUUGAACCGCAUGGUUCAAUAGUGAAAGACGGUUUUGCUGUCACUUAUAGAUGGAUCCGCGCCGCAUUAGCUAGUUGGUAAGGUAACGGCUUACCAAGGCAACGAUGCGUAGCCGACCUGAGAGGGGGAUCGGCCACACGGGAACUGAGACACGGUCCAGACUCCUACGGGAGGCAGCAGUAGGGAAUCUUCCGCAAGGGGCGAAAGCCUGACGGAGCAACGCCGCGUGAGUGAUGAAGGUCUGCGGAUCGUAAAACUCUGUUAUUAGGGAAGAACAAAUGUGUAAGUAACUAUGCACGUCUUGACGGUACCUAAGCAGAAAGCCACGGCUAACUACGU
rnacentral:rRNA from 1 species